rnacentral:miRNA from 1 species
CACCUCAUCAACCGGAAGGGAUUCCUUCCGGUUGAUGAGGUUGUUACACCUCAUCGACUGGAAGGAAUCCCUUCUGGUCGAUGAGGUU